CCUUCUUCCACCAACGAUGUGGAGAUCCAAAUCCAAUUAAAACCAGGACACUCAAAAAGAUGCUCUGUAAAAGAGUAGAAUUCUUGGAACAGAGUUUAAUACACUGAAUCAUAUGAACAGCAGGAAAAAUACAUACAGACAUUUAGCAAGAAAAUUACAGAGCAGAAAACAAGCAAAGCAAAACCCCGGGGUGUACAGCCUUAAGCACAGACAGCAGAGCAACACAGAGACGGACAGGUAGCAGCAGCAGGAGGAAAAAGAGCCCUGGGGGCGUCCUCUGGUCCCCUAAUAUAGGGACCAGUGUCGCCGCCCCCUGCUGCUGGGUAACUUUCCCACACGCCCAGCACAGCUGCUGGGGUCAGGUAGCGACCAGAGUUCACACCUGGCGCUGGCUGAGGGCCCGGUCCAAAGUGACACCAAUAGGUUAACCCUUUGCUUUACCCUCUGACAAUAGGUCACAACAUGGUCAAAGGUCACACAUUAAUCCUAAUUAUUAAAUCUUAUACAGCAAGUGGCACAAUCUUAUAACAUAUAAUACACAGGUUACAUGCUUAAAAACACUUCAGUGUGGGUUCAGAGUGUGUGUGUGUGUGUGUGUGUGUGUGUGUGUGUGUGUGUAUUUUGUAUGAUAUUUUAUCGUGAUGUGUUCAGGAUCUCUAUUACAAUGUUACUGUUUUGGUUGUGCUGCAUUAAAGACGUUAAAUUAAUUAAUUAUUAAGUAAAUUAUUCAAGAGAACUCUCACCCUACAUUAACUGCCCUGUUACUGUACCAACUUAAUAAACCUCGGUGAAGCAAAAUGUCUUGUGCUUAAGACUCUACAUGAAAGUUAAAAUAUAUAUGUUCAGUGCGCAUAGAUAUAUAGUGUAUAUAGUUACAUAGUUAUACAUAUCAAACAAAAAUCCACCACAUUCCCCCCUGUGGUACCUGGAGGUACCACCUAAAAAGACCCCAUGACUAAAGAAGAACAAAAAUUGUGAAAACUAAUGCGUGCGCUGUUUUUUUGCUAACAUAUUUUAAAGCAAGCUGUAAAUAGAACAUAAGAAUUUGUAUAAAGAUCCCACACAGUUAUUGCUCAAAUGAAUAAGCCCUUCCUUCCACCAAAACCCUCAUAGUCAUCAACAUAACAUUCUCCCAACAUUCCAUUUCUCUUAGUCAAUUAAUUUAAGACAAAUUGAUUCAUCUUCAUUUGCAAAUCAUACUACACAGUAUCCUUAACAGAAUACUCAAGAAACUUAAAAAUCAGCCUAAUUACAGGAAAAUGAAAGUAAGGCAUAAAACACAUCAGCAGAGACACAUAAUACAUACAUGGAUUACACAACACCAUAAGUGACAUUAAAAAUAACACGAUUAAACAAUUAAUUCCCAAUUUUGGAUUUCAUCUUGGUCAGGUGCAACUUCUUCUGAACAGACUUCUCAGUGUGGGCUUUGAAAUGUCCUUUGUUAGCUUCAAGGUUGACAUUUCUCUGCAGCAGCUUCAACCUUUACUCAACUUGUGUCCCUUUUUCAGUCCAUAUUUCAACCAAUUUAUGAGUCCGAGAAAAGUCUCUCUUGGUACUUCUUGACUGCUGGAUCUUGCAUACCUUCUAAGAAUACUCGAGACGACUUGGUUCUACUCUUGAUUAAAGUCAGGGUUGGCGAUGGGUAGUAGUUGAUCUUGCACAUCCAUCAUUCGGAAGCUGGUUUGGGCACUGUACGGCUCCACCUGGGCUGUAGGCUCUGCAGCAGAUUCAACAGCUACUGGAUGGGUCAUGGUUCAGCUGUCUGGAGCAGCCUGUUUCACUCCGUUGUCCCCUCGCACUCGUCAUCAGAUUGCCAGCACCUGCUCCAGGACCUCUGCAUCUCCAUCUGUUAUCCAGAUGCCAUCUCCACCUGCAGAAAGAUAACUUCGCAGACUGCAUUAGUUUUGUUCACAGUUAGCAAUACAGGCCCUUUAUGAGGACUUAUCUAUGGACAUUUGUGAGUAUGCCAUGCAGUGUUAGUUGUUGUAGUCUUGUUAGUUCACAACUGCAUGCACCUUAGUACUAGAGUUAAUAUUUGUACCCAGUUGACCUCUUCCUUAACAAAUUCCAAUUCAUUGCUUUAUUUUGUGGAGUACUUUGAAAUGUUUGUCUCAAAUGCUGUUAUAAACAGAAAGCUUUACUUAUCUUUACCUAGCUAUCAAUUUAGGAAGUGCAUAGUAAAGCUCUAACAUGUUGUUUCAUUUAGGUAUUAAUGUGUCUGUUUUCUGGUGAUCAAGACAUCUAAUCACAGCCACAGGACUAGUGAGCUUUAGGGCGACUACUAGCUGGGUUAUUGCCUCUUCAUAUUUAUAAGCUGAAUUUGGAUAAACAUUAACUCUGUUACCGGCUGCCAAUUCACAAUUCAUCAUUAGCACUGUUAGCCCAAAACUUAGCGUUGCUGGCUAUAUGGCUGAUCAAACUUCCCACACCUCUAUAGCCGCCGAAUUGGAAUUUUCAAAGCUAAGUUAGACAAUGCCACAUUGACCACACAGUUCUUCCUAUUGGCAGUAGUUAAACCAUCACUCAAAAACCAUCACUUGACCUAACUGUCCUAGCCAAUUAUAGGCCUCCAACUUUCCUUUAUGUCAAAAAUCCCCACAAGAGAUGCUGUAAAAUAGCCACAGAGGAAUGCCUUAUUUAAAGAGUUUCAGUCAGGUUUCAGAGCACAUCACAGCACAGAAACAGCUUUGAUGAAAGUUAAAAAUGAUCUUCUUAAGGCCUCUGACAGUGGAUUGAUCUCUAUGUUCGACACUUGUGACCAUAACAUGUUAUUCUAAGAAUCCUCCCACAUACACAAGACUAACCAUUGAGCUUCACAAGGUUUCGCACCAGGAUCUAUUUCUAUUUACAUAACACGUGCCUCCUUCAGGUAACACCACAAAAGACACAACAUACCUCUGCCGUGCUGAUGACACCCUCUCUCUCAUUCAUCCAUGAAGCCAAACACCACACACCUGUCAGUCAACCUAAAGGAAUGCUCUGAAUGGCAUUACCUUGGUCUCCAUUAACACUGUGAGGUUUCCAUGAGUUAUUUUUAUCCCAAUAUGUGCUAAUAUGCGAAUAUUAAGGACUGCUUUCUUCAAUUUCUGCAAUAUCUCUAAAGUCCUGUCCCAGAGUGAUGCUGAAAGACAAAUUCAUGCAUUUAUUACUUCUAGGCUGUCCUUUUAUCAUUAUCAGGUUGUGGUCAACUACAUCAAAAUGUUGCACAUGAAUACUGAAAGGGACUAGAAUGACAGAGUAUAUUUCUCCUAUUGACUUUUCUUCAUAGGCUCCUUGUUAAAUCUGUUUUUUUAAUUACCAUCCUGCUCCUAUAGUACUGUAUCUCCCCACUUCACUCUCAAACUUUAAGCUUACUAGAAUAUUUAAAAGUAGAAUGGGAAGCCAGGCCUCCGGUUUUUAGGUCUCUCUUUUGAGUUAUUAUUAGUUAUUAUCAAUCUCUGGCUCUCCUACACAGCAUGUUUUUAGUCCUGUCUCCUCCUCCUUACUCAGCUGGUCACAGCAGAUGACCACUCCCCCCUGUGCCCAGUUCUACUGGGCAUUUAUUCCUGUUAAAAACGGAGUUCCUCCUCUCCAAGUUUCUUGCUAAAAGGGGGUCAGAUAAAUAAUCGUUUUGUAAUGUUUUAUUUUUGCAGUUUAUCCUUGGAUAAUAAAGUGCCCUUAAAUGACUGGCAUCAUAAUUUCAUACCUGUUCAACCUUGAGUUGAAUAAUAUACAGCUUGACAGCCUUUGUUCUUAUAGAAAAGUCGCCAUUGAAAAGCUAAAACAGCUGUAUUAGACUAAUAAAAAACUUUUCUCAGCCAUGCAUGGAUUGUUUAUAGACAGUAAUCAUAAGAAAUUCCCUAACUGUAAUCUUGUUACACAUUUUGGUGGUGGACUCUGAGGCAGACAAUUACUUCACACCCCAUUUUCCUUAACUUGAGUGAUAGUAAAUUAUGAACCGUAAAUAAUACAUGUAACUGGUGUUAUGUUUACAAUACACCUGGAUGGCCAUGAGGAACAUUGAGACCUCCUGAAAAACAAGCAGUUCUAGUUGCAGGGUUAAAGGUCUACUUCAACAGUUUGUAAAUUUGGAUUUUACUAGGUCAGUAGUUGCUCACCUAUGAAGGUUUAAUCAUGCUGACUCAACUCUGCCUUACCUUAAUCUUCCCAGUUUGCCCCAUACCAAUGGAAUGUUCUUCUCUUUCCUUUUGGUUGCCAAGUGCCCGGUCAGACUGCAUGUCCCUCCUCAGUGCUUCAAACUCUACCUCUUCACACUGUAACUAGAAUAGAACUAGAAUAGAGUCAUUUAGCUAUGCAGUUUUUGCUAGAGUAAGCAUUUGAGUAAUUUAAAUAUGUCAAUCCACAGACAACUGGACCCUGCCACACACAGGAAAGCUAAUUUAGGCCCCAUUUUUCUAAUUUGAGGUUUGCAUUUUUUACAGGGGAUCAGGCUUUAGCCUCUUUCCCUCCAAAAUAUCUGAUAAUUUAGAUUUUCUCCUAAAUUUUUGGUUUUUUUUUUUUUGGUUCAUUCCUUGGGAGAGUUAACAAUUUAGCUCUGCUAAGCUAUAUGUUCCCCCCUUUUCCCAAUGCAGUUAAGAUUAUGACAGAAUCCUUCGCUGCUUUCUCCUCCACACUGCAUUCAUUUUUAUUUUUAUUUUGUUUGAAAGUAACUACAAAUUGCUCACACACUCAAUUAUAGCACUGUGGAUAGUUUAGUGCUGCACGUUUAGAGCUAGCAUCUUACUAUUAGCUUCAACACAUGAACUGAGGUAGCUGCCACUGGUCUAUAUGUAGCUGCACUGAAAAAGAUAAAAGACAGAUUAUUUUUCAUAUCUGCAUACAGAUUUACACAUAUGUACACAUUUGCACCCACACAGUUACAUACAUGUCAGGGGGAUACCCAAGAGCAGUGUACCAGGGUCAGAAACAGCAGAUGUUUAAAUUUCUCAUUUCAUGUUACCAGGGAUUCUGAGUUUCAUCAGUACCCCAACUUUUAGUAAAUCCCCAUGUGUACGUUUCAUCCCUUCAAUAAUGCAAUGCUCAUAAGGUGAUUAAUAACUUCUCUAAGUUUACUUAUCUGUCCCAUACCCUACUGGGGUUCUAAUGCUCUGUGUGUAUCUGUUCUAGUGUCAGUGAGAGUCAUGUCUGCACCCUUUAUGUAUUAAACUAUCCUAACCUUAAAUAAUAUUCUAAUGUAAGAGUGUUAGUAAUGAAUAUAUUUUUAAUAAUCUCCUAUCUAAUGCUUUCAUGUGGCCUAGUUCUUAUUAUUUGUGUUCUUUUUCUACUGGGAGAGUAACACAAGGAGUGGAGCCCAGGGCUUUAAACUUAUUAGUUUGUUGGGAGCAUUACUGAUGCAGCUGCUUCAUGUUGUUCACUGCAGAUAUCAUGGAUAGUUAGGUACUCUGGUAUCAGUCACAGUCCAUGUACUGAAGAUUUCUCUUGGCAGUAACUUCCUUGUUGUUAUGGUGCUGCCCACAUUCCUCUCGGAGUUCUCCAGGAACAUCCACACAGAGAACAUCCCAGAUGCUGACGAUGUUGGCUCGUAGAGGCCAUCGAUUGUCAGUCCUCAGCAGAUUGAUGAGUAUGUCAGCUGACUAAAAGUGUGUUUUAAUACACUUUUCCAGCCCUCUGCAGAUAGAGUCUUUCAUUAGACUCGAGGAGACUCAGUUUCAUGAAUUGUGGAUCUUCACUUGGACCCUCCUCUCUGCAGUUCCUGGGCUUUCACAUGUGCCAACCAUUGGAUGUCGUCAUACAGCUGACUCCUCCUCUCCACCCUUGUACAGGCCUCAUCAGUGACAUAGGCCUUCGCAGUGCCAGUGUUGCUCUACUCCACAGGCUCAUGGCCUGGUGUCUUUCACUGGUGCUCUGUGUUUCUCCCCUUCAGUUGGUGAGCUCCUUCAUCUGUAAGGAGUUAUUUCCUUCUUUUUUUUUUUUUCAUAGCAGGAGAGUCAUUGUUUCGAGUAUGUGCAUACAUCAGUUAGUUAGUAACUGUUUUCAUUUGCUCCACCUUUUUUUUUCCCUUUUGCCUGUGAGCUCGACCUCAUGUUACUCUUCAUUAUCUUACUCCUGGUCUUUGAAUUCUCCUAUUUAGCGUCCUUUCCUCUGACUCACAACUGUCUUUGUCCCACCUGUCCUACAUCUCUGACUUUCUCGUGUUUACCUCUCCUCCUCUAAGCCAUAAUCACUUUUGUCGUGGUUUUUUUAAUACAAAGGCUCAAAUUUUGAUUUCUCCUUAUUGCAUUUUAGGUCAAUGUGUUUUCUUUCUAAUCACCAGCUUUUGCUGGAACAAAGGCUAUGUCAUCCCCUCCAAACCCUGCUCCUGUGUAUCUCCACCUGCAUGAUGCACACUGCUUAUUCAGGGAGCUUAGAUUUAGCAGAGAUUUAUCUAUAUUUGCUUUUAUUUUUCUUGUAAAACUAAAACAAGAUCAUAGGGGCUUUAUUAUCAUAUACAACAGUUUUAUGUUUUUCUGCCCAACUUUCCUGUAAGUGACAAGAUGCAGCUGUGGGAUCAACCCCAUCACUAUUCAAAACCCUGAUUACUGAAACAAUUACCCCCAAAUUUUGUCACAAUACCUAUUAAACUUGACAAAUUAAAAACAAUAUUAAUUUUGCAUAUGUAAGAAUUACCAUAUUGCAUUUGCUAAAGACAGCAUUUUGCAAGUUAUUCCUUAAAUGUAUAAAGUUCAAUUUAUUUAUUUAUUUACUUUCUUGGAUGGUAAAAAUCACUCUGAUGUUUUGGGACUCUUAAAACUUAAAUAUUUCCUGAUUCAAGCCUGACACUCGAGGCCCCAAAGGGUUAAGGCCCUCUUAUGUCACGCACCUCUGAAGCUCUUCUAAAUGUUAUUUCUCUUAUAGCUAUAGAAGAAGGAUUACACACAGUCUGACCAGCAUCAAGGCGAGUGUUUUAGAUACCAAUGAUCCCUUUAUUAAUCCCUUCCCCCAUACAAUAUCUAAUCAUGCUUUUUAUUUAUUGAUCAGCAUUUCUAAUGAUCCACAGCUGCAGGUUAACCAGCCAUGCAUCCCACAAUUUUAUUUCUGUUAUUUCAUUUCCCAGCCAAAUAUUCUUUUUCUUUAGAUUUAAACUUUUUAUUUUUUUCUAAAGUGCUCAGGUGUAAUCACUUUGCAUUCAUUCCUACUCUUCCUCUUACUUUACUAUUACACUUAAUGGAAUUAUUUAUCAUAUCUUUCUAAUUACUGUCUUGUUAUUGUUACCAUAACACUCUAAUCAGUUUUCAUUGUAUUUAGGCUUUUUGUUUACUCACUGAAUUAUAUUAUUCUCAAUUCUUUCCACUACUUCUCUACUGUUAUGUCUUAUGCCCCUCUGUCAUUCAGUUCUGUCUUACUUCCCUGUUCUUAUUUUAAUAGUUUAUUAUAUUUAUUUUAAUUUACCUGAGAACCAGUUUACUGGCCUUAUCAUUUUCGUCCCAAGUGUUUAAUUUAAUAUUUUAUUCUCAAAUUUAGAGCUUCUUUCUUCCUGUUCCUCACUCUAAUGGGCACUAUUCUUUUUUACAUUUUUUGUUGUUUUUUGUUCAUAGUACUCAGCAUUUGAUCACUUGUUUAAGCAUCUUCACUGAUGUGGGACCUAAAAUUUACAAACAAGUUACAUCUUUUUCUUUUUCUGUUUUAAGCAAACAAUUUUGCUUCCUGUCUCAGAUGACUCCUCUGAGCUUCGCACAAGCUCACCAUAACAAUAACCUCUUUGAGACAUGCACUUCAGUCUUUUACUCUUCUUCUCACACACUCGCAUUUGGCUUAGAUCGUUUCAAAGCCUGUGCACUGGUCAAGGACACUCUUGGCAGGAUGUCGGGGCCCACCCCACACACUCCACAGUCAGAGCAACUUGAGCCAGCUACACCCUGUGACGGUGUUUACAGGCCGCCUCCUGCAGCAGCGGCUCAGCUGAUGUGAGCUCUCUCAGUACAACACUCAACAGGCGCUAAACUUUACUUUAAAUUGUUAAGUCACAAUCUCUGACUUAUUAAACCACCAUUUCCAACAAAACUUUUCUAUUUCACUUCACUAUAACCUGUCUACCUUCUUUUCUCUUCCCAACUACUUAUUUGUGACGGCAGCAUUUUAAACAGAUCUCUAGGUGUCUCUUUUUGUUAAUUUGUUCAUUAUUCGUCCUCAUUACCGCUUCACCCCACAUGUCAGCCUGUUUAUUCUGAACUCCUCUAAGCUUCACACAAUGUAUUUCCAACAAUCAUUCAUUUCACAUCAUAUUACUCAGGUGCCUCUUGCACUCUCUGUAUGCUUUUGGGUGAGUUUAUGACCCCUCGGCAGAACUCUCUACAACAAGCAAAACUUCAUUAUUUACUUCUCUUGCACUCCUCUUUGGUGAGUGAUAACAAACCCUCAAUAAACAUUUCACAUGCAAACUCUGAGACAUUAUUAGAUUCUUUUACAACUCCUGCAUUUUACUGAGAUCGAUUUAUGGAUGCUGUUUUGACUCUCUUAUCUUCAUUGUUGCCCAAACAUGUUCUUAUUUAUUUAGUCUCUAUCUCUCGUUCCGUACUAAGAUGUUCAGAUGUUCUUAGAUCAUCACCACUGCCUUCUAUAUUUCUCCAAACACAGCACAGACCUCCCUAUUUCAUUUAUUAUUUGUUUGUGUGAUUUAUUUAAUUUCCUUCUAAUUAUUUUAGUUUUAUCCCAGCUAUGUUUUAUUAUUAGAAUUAGUUUAUAGUUCUCAUUCUUACUGUUAUUAGUUUGGAUAUGUUAUAAUUUAGCUCUAGGUUAGGUUAUCCUUUUUUAUUUUACUUUAGUCAAGCAGCUCUAUUUCCAAUUUAUUUAACUUUUGGUCAUACUUUUAUUAAGCUAAUAAUCCAAAAAAAGUGCCUGCAAUCCCUAUUUACUCAUUAUCCCUAUUUUGGCAAUUAAUAUCUUCUUUUACUGAAAUUUACCCACAAAUCUUCCAACUUACUUCAUGUUGCUGCUUGACAAAUAUUUUUUCUACAGAUCUUUCUGUUUAAAUUCCUUAAACAACAGCAUUAUUUUUCAGCGGCAGUGUCUAUUUUCCUCUUUAUAUUCAACCACUCUUAAUUUUUUGCAGACUUAUCUCUUUUAACUGCUCUGAUGCUCCUCUCACUCCUCCACAUACCUUAGGGAUGAGUCACAAACUGCCUGCAGACACAGCGCUCUGCAGCACAGUGAACUCAAGUUUUUUUUAGUCACUCAAAUCAGUCACUCUACAACUUUUUACUUAGUUACCUACUAACUUCCCAUUUUUCUUAUUUAUUUAUCAAAACCCACCCCUUACGCGUAUUCCUCUUAUUUACAGCAAGAGUUAUUUUAAGCAAUAUUUACAGCAAUACAUUGUUAUACUCUAGACUACUACUUAGCAAUAUUUACAGCAGCGAUUAUACUUAAGGGUUAGUAACAGCUAUUUACAUAUUUACACUUGGGCCGAAGGUGUCGCCUUUCAUUCCGCGACGCGCGCAGUUACCCAGCGUGUCCAGACCGGUGGACUCGAAAGCCCUCAGAUCCCUACUGUGAGCCCCAAGUCCCCGCGUUACUGGCUAGGAAUUUAUCCCCAAAAAUCCCCCAAAGCCCGAGCAGUCCUGACUACCUAGCAAUUCACUUGGGUUAACCAGGUUAACCAAUUAAAUGGUUAACCUAGUUAGCCUGUGUCACCUUAUCUACCUAAAUGGAUAACUAGGUUUCCAGCGGUAACCACCUUGGGGGUGCCGACAUAUAUUUCACUUUUCAUCACUUUUAUCACUUUUCAUCACUUCAACUUUUUACUUCUGCGUAACUUACGCCUAUUCUUCAGAUGCACUAAAGAAUAGCGGAAAAAUAAACCCAAACUCCCCCAACACAGUCCUGGAGUCAUACUCCAGCACAGGGCAGAGCAGCCUUUCACACACACAAACCCCAAAUACGCACACACACAGCGCUCACUCACACUUCCCCCGCGGGUCACACAAGUUACAGGAAUAACACACACACAUAUGAUGCAGUAUUAAACUCCACUCCUUCAGCAUCCGCAACUAGCAUUAUUUUUACAGUGUAACACUUUAUCACUUAGAAUAACAGCGACCAUUUGAUUAAAGUCCUUUUCAAGGUUAGAGCAGAAAACAAGCAAAGCAAAACCCCGGGGUGUACAGCCUUAAGCACAGACAGCAGAGCAACACAGAGACGGACAGGUAGCAGCAGCAGGAGGAAAAAGAGCCCUGGGGGCGUCCUCUGGUCCCCUAAUAUAGGGACCAGUGUCGCCGCCCCCUGCUGCUGGGUAACUUUCCCACGCGCCCAAACACAGCUGCUGGGGUCAG
ensembl:lncRNA